rnacentral:rRNA from 1 species
UACGUAGGGGGCAAGCGUUGUCCGGAUUUAUUGGGCGUAAAGAGCGUGUAGGCGGUUCGGUAGGUCCGUUGUGAAAACUCGAGGCUCAACCUCGAGACGCCGAUGGAAACCCUCGAACUAGAGUCCGGAAGAGGAGAGUGGAAUUCCUGGUGUAGCGGUGAAAUGUGCAGAUAUCAGGAAGAACACCCGUGGCUAAGGCGGCUCUCUAGUACGGUACUGACGCUGAGACGCGAAAGCGUGGGGAGCGAACAGG